AACGAACGCUGGCGGCAUGCCUAACACAUGCAAGUCGAACGAGACCUUCGGGUCUAGUUGCGCACGGGUGCGUAACGCGUGGGAACCUGCCCUUAGGUUCGGAAUAACUCCCCGAAAGGGGUGCUAAUACCGGAUAAUGUCUUCGGACCAAAGAUUUAUCGCCUUUGGAUGGGCCCGCGUUGGAUUAGCUAGUUGGUAGGGUAAAAGCCUACCAAGGCGACGAUACAUAGCUGGUAUGAGAGGAUGAUCAGCCACACUGGGACUGAGACACGUCCCAGACUCCUACGGGAGGCAGCAGUGGGGACUAUUGGACAAUGGGCGAGAGCCUGAUCCAGCAAUGCCGCGUGAGUGAUGAAGUCCUGAGGGUUGUAAAGCUCUGUUACCCGGGAUGAUAAUGACAGUACCGGGAGAAUAAGCUCCGGCUAACUCCGUG
rnacentral:rRNA from 1 species